rnacentral:rRNA from 1 species
ACACACGCAGUCGAGCGCACUUCGGUUGAGCGGCGAACGGCUGAGUAACACGUCGGAACCUACCUUGGACUCAGGGAUAACUCCUCGAAAGAGGGGCUAAUACCGGAUAGUCCCGCAAGGGUAAAGCUUUUGCGGUCCAAGAGGGGCCUGCGGCCUAUCAGGUUGUUGGUGGGGUAAUAGCCUACCAAGCCUAUGACGGGUAACUGGUCUGAGAGGACGACCAGUCAGAAUGGGACUGAGACACGGCCCAUACUCCUACGGGAGGCAGCAGUGAGGAAUAUUCCGCAAUGGGGGAAACCCUGACGGAGCGACACCGCGUGGAGGAUGACGCCAUUCUUUGGUGUAAACUCCUGUCCUGAGGGACGAAACUUUUGACGGUACCUCAGAAGAAAGCACCGGCUAAUUCCGUGCCAGCAGCCGCGGUAAGACGGAAGGUGCAAGCGUUACUCGGAAUUACUGGGCGUAAAGCGUCCGCAGCCGAUCUAGUAAGUCUGGCGUAAAAGCACGAAGCUCAACUCCGUGUACGUGCCGGAAACUGCAAGAAUUGAGUCAUACAGAGGCAUCUGGAAUGCCAUGUGUAGGGGUAAAAUCCGUUGAUCCAUGGUAGAACGCCAAAAGCGAAAGCAGGAUGCUGGGUAUGUACUGACGGUCAGGGACGAAAGCGUGGGUAGCGAACGGGAUUAGAUACCCCGGUAGUCCACGCCCUAAACGAUGCGUGUUCGGUGUGGGGAUUUUCAAUUGAUCUCCGUGCCUAAGCUAACGCGGUAAACACGCCGCCUGGGAAGUACGGUCGCAAGACUAAAAC